rnacentral:tRNA from 1 species
GAGGAUGUAGCUCAGUGGUAGAGUAUUUGCCUAGCAUGCACAAAGACCUGGGUCCCAACAUCCAUG